rnacentral:tRNA from 1 species
GCCUGACUGGCUCAGUUGGUGAAGCAUGUGACUCUUGUUCUCAGGGUUGUGAGUUCGAGCCCCACGCUGGGUA